rnacentral:rRNA from 1 species
CCCUUCGGGGUACACGAGUGGCGAACGGGUGAGUACACGUGGGUAAUCUGCCCUGCACUUCGGGAUAAGCCUGGGAAACUGGGUCUAAUACCGGAUAGGACCAUGGACUUCACGGUUUGUGGUGGAAAGCUUUUGCGGUGUGGGAUGGGCCCGCGGCCUAUCAGCUUGUUGGUGGGGUAAUGGCCUACCAAGGCGACGACGGGUAGCCGGCCUGAGAGGGUGUCCGGCCACACUGGGACUGAGAUACGGCCCAGACUCCUACGGGAGGCAGCAGUGGGGAAUAUUGCACAAUGGGCGCAAGCCUGAUGCAGCGACGCCGCGUGAGGGAUGACGGCCUUCGGGUUGUAAACCUCUUUCAAUAGGGACGAAGCGCAAGUGACGGUACCUAUAGAAGAAGCACCGGCCAACUACGUG